rnacentral:lncRNA from 1 species
CAGGAAUAUACAAUCUUUACUAUACUGUGUUAUCUCUAUGCUAUCUUACAGCAUACUUCUGAUUUUACACAAUGUAUAAGUUUAUAAAAUUUUUACAAGAUGUCAUCAUUAUAUUGUUUAAAUCAUAGCAUCUUUCAUCCAAGAGAAUUUUAUGAAUCUUCAUUUUUCUAAAACCAGUGCUAAUGACCUCUCUUUCUCCUAAUUUGCUCAGAAUUCUUUACAGUACCCCAGGCUUCAGCAUGAUAAAGUUCAUCUGAUUUACUAUAUUCAAUCUUUUUCAGUGUGCUUCAUAAUUGACUAAGUAAAGCUAGAGAGAAGCUAAGGUGCUACUGCAAUAAUUUUAAAAGUGGAUUGAUCCUUAUUCCAGGACAGUAACAGAGAAAGUGUUGAGCAGACUCCAAAUACAUCCUAUGUUAAGAAUCAAAUUAUUCUGAUGAAAAGGACAUGAACUUGGGCCUGGUCACAUGGAAACUUCCCCAGGAAGUCUUGUCUGAAAAGAAUGGAGAAAGGAGCGGUGAAAAUACAGUGAAGAGUGUACACUUUCCCUCUCACCUGCUACUCAGGGGGCUUCAUUUAAUGAGCAUUCAGAACACUGGAUCAUUUGGUCAUCCUCAGGGCAUAAUUUCCCAGGAAGUAUUGUUUGGGCUGGUUCCAAGGACAAAAUUUCAAGGAUUAAGUAAACAAAGACUUUGCCUAUUCCAUCAGAAACCACAUCCAGAAAGCCAAUACACACUUCAUGCCCUUUUGAGAUACUCUAAACAGUGGCUGAACUUCAUUUUAUCUACUUUUUAAAUUGACAUAUCACUACAUUAAUUUGAAAAGAAUAAUGUUUACACUCAAGUGAUCAAUCAGGAAACUUUUGGAUUAGGGUGAUGAAGAACACUUUUCCAGGGACAUUUAUUUAAUGACAGAAAAUAAAGCU